rnacentral:rRNA from 1 species
UACGUAGGUGGCAAGCGUUGUCCGGAAUUAUUGGGCGUAAAGCGCGCGCAGGCGGUCCUUUAAGUCUGAUGUGAAAGCCCCACGGCUCAACCGUGGAGGGUCAUUGGAAACUGGGGGGACUUGAGUGCAGAAGAGGAAAGCGGAAUUCCACGUGUAGCGGUGAAAUGCGUAGAGAUGUGGAGGAACACCAGUGGCGAAGGCGGCUUUCUGGUCUGUAACUGACGCUGAUGAGCGAAAGCCAGGGGAGCAAACGGG